GCGUACGUACUGGUUGGUCUGCACGCUUGGGAUGAUGUACUUCAUCGUCCGCUUCUGACCGCUCACCGUCCAGUUCGCCGAGCUGAAGCUUGCGACAAUGGCCGCCGACGGAUUGGUUGCGUUGGUGUAGUUCGGGCUGUUGUCNNNACACCGGUGAUGUUGCCGCGGAUGAAGUCGACCUGUCGCAGGGUCGGCCGGUUCAGCGGCUCCUGGAUGCUGAGCUGCAUCAACGAAGGAUUGUUGAAGCUGUACGGCGAGUUGUUGGGCGUGGUCGGCAGGGUUACUUCAAGGGUG
rnacentral:misc_RNA from 1 species